GAUCUUGGUUGGUCUUCCAUCUGUUGAGAACAGGGAAAUGAUCUUGAAGAUUCUUUUGGCUAAAGAAAAACAUGAAAACUUAGACUUCAAAGAGCUGGCAACCAUGACAGAAGGAUAUACUGGAAGUGAUCUUAAGAAUUUGUGCAUCACUGCGGCUUAUCGACCUGUUAGAGAGCUAAUACAGCAGGAGAGAAUGAAGGAAAUGG